UUAAGAAGGUGCCAGGUUUUGGAGGUGGAGGAAAGCCGGAGUACCCGGAGAAAAACCAUCAACCUACGGUCAGUACCAGGCAACUGCUCCACGUAGCUUUCGAACUUGUUGCGACCGAGAGGUGGAGGGCUAGUGAUAAAGUGUCUGGACAUCUUAACCACUCGGCCACCGCGGCCCCUAUGCAUUUAGGUCUAAACAAGCCAAGAAAAUCUAACUCAGUCAUGCUGUGGUCAUGUUUGGAGGCUUCAAUAUAGUGAUGGCUGCUCAAUCGGAGACUGGCUGGAGGACAGUGGCUGGACUGAGGCUUUGGUUGAAGCAGAGAUAGCAUCUGCUGGCACUGCAGAAUCCAUCGUAAAGGCAUCACACAUGUCCAGGACACGUCAUGCUCAUCAGGUACGUGGAUGUGAUCUGGACGAAAUCUUCUGUCACGAAAGCCAGGCUUAUCGUCCUGCUUAUCCCAGUAUGGUACGAUUCGGUCAGGCUCUAAAUCACCAUUGCUGACAUGGCUUGAAAUGCAUGGACGAUUAAAUGAUAUAUUUCCAAAUGUUGAUGCCCAGUUCGAUGAAACUGUAAUUAUAAACAUCCUGAAACCUGGGGUAGCAACAACGUUUAAAGAGAUGUGUUUUCUAAGUACAUGCAAGAGCAACUUGACGAUUUAGGUAAGAUUGACAUCGUGUGGGAUAAGUAUCUCAAUGAUAAUCUGAAAUCGAGCACUUGGAGUAAAAAAGGGAAAGGAGUGAGACGGCGUGUUGUAGCUUCAGCGAGAGUACCAAGCAAUUUGGAGGCAUUCCUUCGAAUCGAUGGCAACAAAACUAACGAUUUCGAUACCUCGCUCACCGGUUAGUUGAAACAGCCUGUGGUGAUAAAAUGAUCAUCACUUCAUUUGAAGAAGAUGUCUUUUCCUCAUCUGAGUAUGAUAAUUCAUGUACAAUGCUUUCUUCAAGAGGAAACUGAUACCCUUGAGGACUGUUGACAGUGAUGUAGUACCAAACGCCAUUGCUUUGUGUCAACAGAUGCCACAAUUGACGCAAUUUCGGAUAGCAUUUGAGGUUGGAAAACACUACAGAUAUAUUCCAGUACACCAGAUAGCUUUAUCAUUGGGCCAAGGGAAACCGGCAUCAUUACCAGUUAUCUAUGCAUUCACAGGUUGUGGCCAAAUAUCAUUCCUGCUAGGUUAUGGAAAGGAAAGUACAUGGGACAUAUUGAAUGUGUUUGAAGAGGUAGCAUAAGUAUUUUUAGCAUUAAGCGACACACCAGGAGAGCAUGUAAUAGCUGAAAACAUACAGGAACUGGAACGGUUUAUCAUCCUGGUGUAUGACCGCACAAGUAACUGCCAGCGUAUUAAUUAAGCACGCAAGGUUUUAUUUACCAAGAAAGCCAGGGCAAUGGAAGUUUAAACUCCAACAUCUCCAGCUCUGGUGGAGCAUGCAAAGAGAUUUGUGUACCAAACAUGAUAAGUUUUGGAAAAGAAUUAACGCCUAAGUCUGACUUACCCUGCUCUAGUUAGUGGGGAUGGACAGGAAAUCGCACUCAUGCAUGGAAACCUGUAUGGACCACACAUCCUGAGGCAUCGCAGUCCUGUCAGCAGUUAACUUGAUGUAACACCGACAGAGGCUGUAGAGGACAUGUGCAAAAUUUGUUUUAUUUUGUUUAGCGUCCUAUUAACAGCCAGGGUCAUUUAUGGACGUGCCAGGUUUUGGAGGCAGAGGAAAGCCGGAGUACACGAAGAAAAACAAUCGACCUACGGUCAGUACGAGGCAACUGCACCACGUGGGUAUUGAACCCGCAGCCCAGAGGUGGAGGGCUAGUGAUAAAGUGUUGGGAAUCUUGCCCGCGGCCCCAUAACAAAAUGUUAAUGUAAAUUUGCAAAGAGCAACCUAAAAUGCACUGCAUGAUGGUGAUUGUGACUAUGAAAAGUAAACUUCAGCACUUG